AGAGUUCAUUUAACUGAAAUAAAAAUUCAUACUCUAAUUUUAAACUAGAACAGUGAAGGCUAUAUGGAUAUGUUUGAAAUACUGCUAAUAGAAAUUUGAAAGUAGUAUAUAUAUAUCAUCAUAGUUUAUAUAUUUUAUGGAAGUUAAUUUAAUCAAUUUCUAGUUUCUAAAUUAUAUGAGAUGAACCUGAUUUUUUUUUAAUCAGUUAAGUACUUAAAAUUUAAGGCAGAUGUGGUACAUGUUUUGUGUGUGUUUUGCCCCUCUUGUGACUCCAUUGCCCUUAUAUGGUCCUUCCUGUUCCUGUCCUUGUUGUGUGAAUUGUUUCCAGCCAUGUUUAUUAUUUUUUUCCCAGGUGUUUCCCAUAGAUGUCCGUGUAUUUAUAGUGUGUUCUGUCUCCAAUUCCUCAUCUGCUGUUAUACGUUAUUCUGUUCUCCCGAUGUCUCCAGUCCCGUAAUCCCCAGCGUGCUAUUAAUAAAACUCUUUUGACUUAUUUACUCCUUGCCUCCUCACUUCUUUGUUCCUGUGUUCCUAGUGAGUUGUGACAGUUUUUAGGACUCUUACCACUUGCUCUCCUGUUAAUCUCACGGUCUCCUGCACAAGCCUGUCAGUCAUAUCCCACUGAGCAUGAACUGAAGAUGUCUGCUCACCAACUGACAACCAUAGUGCAUUCAAGGUCUCUUUACACUGGAUCUGCACUGCAGCAUGCUUGCAUCAUCAAUAGUCAACUUGGUUGGCAGCCAAUUCCAAUGCAAGACAUCCACAUAAGAAGAGCUGGGGUGCCUAAUUUCUGCAGAAAUGUUCUCUGAGUCACCAAAGAUUAUUGUUAACAUGUCCAGUCUAAGAAUUCUGAUGCCAUUUUAUAGAAAAUCAUUCAUUUGAGCCAUGCUUGCUUCAGUAGUAACUGUCUAGACUGAGGUACAUCUCUUCAUAGACUAAACCAACUCAAGAAAUUAGAAAGCCAAUAGAUAAGUUCGAUAAAGUGUAGAAAUCAUGUGUUUAGUAUGGUGGAGAUUAUUUAAUUAUUCUGUGUGUCCAAAGACGAUCUAUUCUGUGUGAUUUAAGACGAUCAGUGAUUAAGUGUUUCUUUUGCACAGUACUAAGAAUAAAGGGCAGAUUCAUUUGAAUGUUAUGAAAUCUAUGAAUUUGCCUUUAUUUGUUGGAACACUUUCAUUUGUAGGUGGAAAUUGUGAGCCAGGUCACUGACAUGAGGAUGACAUUGUCAUACUAUUACUAGUGCUUUACAGUGACAUUAGUAACAAGUUAACAGGCUUGCUGAACUGGAUGAUUAUUGUUUGCCUCAUGUUCCUCUAAUCAUACAUAGCAUUUAUUUCAUGCUCUAAGUCUAACACAAUGACUGUUUUUGAUUUUAAUUUUGAUUAGGGUGACAGUAUAAAAUUGUAACUAAUUUACACUAAACAAAUCUUUAAAAUACUAGUGAUGAACAUGGGCAUUUAAUUAAAUAUUUUGCAUUGAGAUUCAUAAUGAACACAGGGAUGUUUGUGCAGGUAAAUUAAACCAGUUCAUUCACAUGAACUUAUUCAUUAUAAUAAUCUCAGUCAUUGCGCAUUGAGGAAAAAGUACCCAGAACUGUAUAACAUGUCGAUUUCCAGUUCUGCCUAGUACAAAGAUGCAAGUCAGCACUGGAAAAACAAACAUAUGAUUAUUGAACUUAAAAAUGACCAUUAUCCACACCUUCACAAACAGACAGGUUGACAGAUCCAUAUUAACUUGUUUAAAUGGUCUC